rnacentral:lncRNA from 1 species
CUGGGAGUGCUCAUGCGCAGAGGAAAGGCCGUAGGAGGAUGCUAUAAAAAGGCUGUUGUCUGCAAGCCAAGGGGUGAGGCCUCGGGAGAAACCAAGCCUGUUGACACCACGAUCUUGGACUUCCACCCCUUCAGAACCGAAAAAUGUUAUCACUGUUGUUUUCCACCAUCUUUACUAAUGUGAGUGCAUUGAUUUCAUCAAAGAUGCAAGCUUAAUAUUCACACCAGACUUAUUGCCUUUGGAGGAAGUCCUGAGACUUAGGAACUGACUAAAAACCUCU